rnacentral:rRNA from 1 species
UACGGGGGGGCAAGCGUUGUUCGGAAUUACUGGGCGUAAAGGGCUCGUAGGCGGCCAACUAAGUCAGACGUGAAAUCCCUCGGCUUAACCGGGGAACUGCAUCUGAUACUGGAUGGCUUGAGAUUGGGAGAGGGAUGCGGAAUUCCAGGUGUAGCGGUGAAAUGCGUAGAUAUCUGGAGGAACACCGGUGGCGAAGGCGGCAUCCUGGACCAACACUGACGCUGAGGAGCGAAAGCCAGGGGAGCAAACGGG